rnacentral:rRNA from 1 species
UACGAAGGGGGCUAGCGUUGUUCGGAAUCACUGGGCGUAAAGCGCGCGUAGGCGGACCGUUAAGUCGGAGGUGAAAUCCUGGGGCUCAACCCCAGAACUGCCUUCGAUACUGGCGGUCUCGAGUCCGGGAGAGGUGAGUGGAACUGCCAGUGUAGAGGUGAAAUUCGUAGAUAUUGGCAAGAACACCAGUGGCGAAGGCGGCUCACUGGCCCGGUACUGACGCUGAGGUGCGAAAGCGUGGGGAGCAAACAGG